GGGUAGAGCCACAAUCUGCUCCUUGCUUUUUUCUGCAACAGGUGCCAGUUCACUGCUCUGUAGUUUCUGUGGAACUGGCGUCCGUUGCAGGGAUGUGCGGGGAGCGUCCACCCAUCCUGCUCCC
rnacentral:precursor_RNA from 14 species